UUUCCGGAAAGGAAGAAACUGGCCCGGGGGGAGCUACAACCAUACAGGAAUGCUGGUGAAUCUCCAGAAUGCUGGUACGAAGAUUUUGAAAACUUAACAGAUACACCCAAAGAAGUUGAAUCGACAGGCAAUUUGGAUUGCCUUUACUUAAACGGAAGCAAUUACCAUGGCAAUAUAUCAGUGACAGCCUCCGGUGUUCCGUGUCAGUCAUGGACGGA